rnacentral:rRNA from 1 species
UCCCGACGGGGGGCAGCAGUGGGGAAUAUUGCACAAUGGGGGAAACCCUGAUGCAGCGACGCCGCGUGAGUGAAGAAGUAUUUCGGUAUGUAAAGCUCUAUCAGCAGGGAAGAAAAAAGACGGUACCUGACUAAGAAGCCCCGGCUAACUACGUGCCAGCAGCCGCGGUAAUACGUAGGGGGCAAGCGUUAUCCGGAUUUACUGGGUGUAAAGGGCGAGUAGACGGCGUUGCAAGUCAGAUGUGAAAGGCUAGGGCCCAACCUUAGGAGAGCAUCUGAAACUGUAAUGCUAGAGUGCAGGAGAGG